CAAGUAGUUUCCAGGCCUACUCCAAUCUCCAGGCCCAGGCAAAACAGCCCCAGACCGCGUGCGUUUCGCUUCUGCCCCUGCUGUUUCUGUUUCUUGGCGUCCAUCCCCUCUUUCUCUCGUGGCGACGACGGCGACCGUCACACCCCCCCUAUGUGCUAGGUGCCAGGGUCCGUCGGGUCCUUCGCUGGCGACGAGCAACUACCAGGCGACCCAGUGGUGUGUUCGGGAACGUUUCCGCGGGCGGGCGGCGGCCCCCAGUGGCGAAGAUGAUCUGACUACCGACGUACGCAGCACGAGGCGUUCGUUGCCAUCUUCUUCUCCUUUGAGUAUAUGAUACUAGCAACAUCCACGGUAUCAACAUUCGUGAAGUAUAUAUUCUAUGUUAGUGACAUGCUAAUGGAAGGUCAAUGGGAGAAAAAGGCAGUGUAUACAUUUUACUUGGAGCUCAUAAGUGACCUUGUGCACUUGUCAUUAUACAUGCUCUUCUUCAUAGUUAUCUUCCUGAACUAUGGUGAUCGGCGACCGUGAUCUUCCAUGUUAUUAUGUUCUGAUACUUGAGACUUUUAUUAUGACUAUGUAUGAGAUAUUGUCUCUUAUUAGUACUGGUUGAUGAGAUGUGUCUUAUUAUGACUAUGGAUGAGACUUUUGUGAUGUAAUUGAUAAGACUAUGGAUGAGACUUUUGUGAUGUAA